GUGGGGAAUAUUGGGCAAUGGAGGCAACUCUGACCCAGCCAUGCCGCGUGCAGGAUGACGGCCCUCUGGGUUGUAAACUGCUUUUAUACGGGAAGAAAAAAUACUACGUGUAGUAUACUGACGGUACCGUAAGAAUAAGGAUCGGCUAACUCCGUGCCAGCAGCCGCGGUAAUACGGAGGAUCCAAGCGUUGUCCGGAUUUAUUGGGUUUAAAGGGUGCGUAGGCGGAUCUUUAAGUCAGUGGUGAAAGCCUGCAGCUUAACUGUAGAAUUGCCAUUGAAACUGAAGAUCUUGAAUGUGGUUAAAGUAGGCGGAAUGUAUCAUGUAGCGGUGAAAUGCUUAGAUAUGAUACAGAACACCGAUAGCGAAGGCAGCUUGCUGAACCAUUAUUGACGCUGAGGCACGAAAGCGUGGGGAGCGAACAGGAUUAGAUACCCUAGUAGUCC
rnacentral:rRNA from 1 species